rnacentral:rRNA from 1 species
GGGUCAGUAGGUUGGUCGUGCCACCGGUACGUACUGGUCUCACUGAUUCCUCCUUCCCGAAGAACCGUAAUGCCAUUAAUUUGGUGUUGCGGGGAAACAGGACUGUUACUUUGAAAAAAUUAGAGUGUUUAAAGCAAGCUAACGCUUGAAUACAUUAGCAUGGAAUAAUGAAAUAGGACGAUCGAUCCUAUUUUGUUGGUUUCUAGGAUUGACGUC